UCCUGCUUGCAGAAGAUCAUCAUAUUUCCCCGCCUGUAUAAUGCGCCCUUCCUUGAGAACCAGUAUUAGAUCAGCCGCUGGCAAAAAUUCAACUUGAUGGGUUACAAAAAUAACUGUCUUAGUUGCUAGUGCUGUUAAUAUGUAUUCCUUGAACAACUCAGAACCAGUGUGUGCAUCAACAGCACUGAAGGGAUCAUCAAGUAAAUAAAUAUCUGCAUCUUGAUAUAGUGCCCUUGCAAGCUGUACCCGCUGCUUCUGGCCACCACUCAAAUUUAUACCUCUAUCACCAAUGAUGGUCUGAUCGCCAUGUGAAAAAAGUUCCAAAUCUUUUUUCAGUGAACAAGCAUGGAUAGCGUUUUUGUACUUUGCUUUAUCCAUUGGGCUGCCAAAAAGAAUGUUUUCUUCAAUAUUUCCAGAUUGUAUCCAUGCUGACUGGGAAACAUAAGCAGCAGUACCACAAACUCUUACUUCACCAGAGAUUUUGGGAAUCUCCCCAAGGAUGCAAGAGAGAAAGCUUGAUUUUCCUGAGCCAACCAUGCCACAAACAGCUACACGCAUCCCUCUCUGCACCUUCACAUGAAUGCCUGAUAAAGUGGUCCUCGAAGAAGAAGAAGGGUCCCAACAGAACUCACCAUCAUUAACUUCUAUGGCCAUGUUUGUCAUACCUCGUGGCAAAACAAGGGUUGCAUCUGCCUGCAACUCUUCUUCCUGUAGGAAUCCAGAAAUUCGAUCAAGGGAAACUUUUGUCUGGGCCAUCAUUGACACUAAGUCAGGGAAAUUCCUAAGUGGUUCUUGUAGGAUUCUGAAGGUGGCCAGAGCAGAAAGAACACCUCCAGCAGUGAGCUGACCACCCAACAAUAUUGAAGUACCAAAAGUAACAACUGCAACAAAUAUGGGAGAACUCCAGAAAAUGAAUGUAAUAAAAGCUUGUGAGUAGAGGGCCUUACGGAGCCACCUGAACUCCACAUCCCGCAUCUCCUCCAACUUCACUCGAUACCUGUCCUCCCAAGCUUGCAGCUUCAGAAUCCUCAUAUUCCUCAGACACUCAGAAGUUUUCCUCAUCCUGUCAUCCUUUGCAGCCAUUAAUUUGUCUUGAUAAUCUUCUUGUAUCUUAGCCAAGGGCACAGUAACAAUGAUGGAUAUGAUAGUGGAAAUUAAAGUUGCAAUAGAAGCAAUUCCAACAUUCUUAUACAAAAUUGCAAGUGCAAGAAUUAUUUGCAAGGGAAGCAUCCAUAUGUCAUGGAGAUACCAAGAGUAGUCCCCCACUCUCUGGACAUCAACUGCCAUGUAAUUAACAAUUUCUCCACUAGUGUGACUUUGCUUGGCCAAGCUUGAGAGCCUGAGUCCUUUUCGGUACACCAUUGCUGUCAGAGCCGACCUGACAUGCAUGCCCAAAAUAUCAACACCAAGAUACCAUUGCCGGGUUGUUAAGGUCUCCACAAGCUUUGCCGAGAAGAAUAUCCCAGCAAGAAUAUAUCCUUCAUGAGGGAAAGUCUCCUUCCCCCCUAAAUACUCAACAAAGUAGCUUAUCAUGUACGGACCCACAUAUGAGACAAGUGUAUUUACCAAGGCAAAUAUGGCAUUGCAAGCCGCGUCCUUCCAGAAUGAAUUGAGAAUUGCCCAAGCUAAAGAAGGCUGCUUUGAAGGAUUUUCUGCCUUCAAUUUCUCCCAAUUCAAAUUCAAAACCUUAUAAUUGGACUUAGCUCGAUCUUUUGGAGCAAGAAGAGGAAUGUCCUUGAGCUCAAGCGGUCUCUUUGCACCAAUAGACAGAAGUGGGUUUAACCAUGAAAGAGUAGCCAAGCUAAACAAUCCAGCAUUACUAUAAGGAGUAACCUUGAGACACCCUGAUUCUUCUUCAAGAAGCAGUGGCUCUUGAAGAUCAGAAUUCCUACAAACUUGUAUUCCAGUAAUGCCUCUAAUUGCCACAAAACAUAGAAAAGCAAGAGCUGGAGUUGUAGCAAAAUUCACCAUAACAUGAGAACUCAAAUGC
rnacentral:misc_RNA from 1 species